rnacentral:tRNA from 1 species
GCCGGUUUGGCUCAGUGGAUAGAGCAUCAGCCUGCGGACUGAAGGGUCCCGGGUUCGAUUCCCGGUCAGGGCA